GUACUCAUUUCAGCAGUAUGUACAAUAAAUUUAUAAUGAUAUAGAGAAAAUUAGCAUGGCCCUUGUGAAAGGACAACACACAAAUUUGUGAAGGAUUUCACAUUUUA
ensembl:snRNA U6 U6 spliceosomal RNA